UACGGGGGGGGCAAGCGUUGUUCGGAAUUACUGGGCGUAAAGGGCUCGUAGGCGGCCAACUAAGUCCGACGUGAAAUCCCCAGGCUCAACCUGGGAACUGCGUCGGAUACUGGAUGGCUUGAAUUCGGGAGAGGGAUGCAGAAUUCCAGGUGUAGCGGUGAGAUGCGUAGAUAUCUGGAGGAAUACCGGUGGCGAAGGCGGCAUCCUGGACCGACAUUGACGCUGAGGAGCGAAAGCUAGGGGAGCAAACGGG
rnacentral:rRNA from 1 species